AUUGAACGCUGGCGGCAUGCCUUACACAUGCAAGUCGAACGGCAGCACGGGAGCAAUCCUGGUGGCGAGUGGCGGACGGGUGAGUAAUAUAUCGGAACGUGCCCAGUAGUGGGGGAUAACUGCUCGAAAGAGCAGCUAAUACCGCAUACGACCUGAGGGUGAAAGGGGGGGAUCGCAAGACUUCUCGCUAUUGGAGCGGCCGAUAUCAGAUUAGCUAGUUGGCGGGGUAAAGGCCUACCAAGGCAACGAUCUGUAGUUGGGCUGAGAGGACGACCAGCCACACGGGGACGGAGACACGGCCCAGACUCCUACGGGAGGCAGCAGUGGGGGAUUUUGGAGAAUGGGCGCAAGCCUGAUACAGCAAUGCCGCGUGCAGGAAGAAGGCCUUCGGGUUGUAAACUGCUUUUGUCAGGGAAGAAAUCCUCUAGGUUAAUACCCUUGGGGGGAUGACGGUACCUGAAGAAUAAGCACCGGCUAACUACGUGCCAGCAGCCGCAGUAAUAC
rnacentral:rRNA from 1 species